GAACAACCGGGGAGGGUCAUUGGAAACUGGGGAACUUGAGUGCAGAAGAGGAGAGUGGAAUUCCACGUGUAGCGGUGAAAUGCGUAGAGAUGUGGAGGAACACCAGUGGCGAAGGCCACUCUCUGGUCUGUAACUGACGCUGAGGCGCGAAAGCGUGGGGAGCGAACAGGAUUAGAUACCCUGGUAGUCCACGCCGUAAACGAUGAGUGCUAAGUGUUAGAGGGUUUCCGCCCUUUAGUGCUGCAACAAACGCAUUAAGCACUCCGCCUGGGGAGUACGGUCGCAAGACUGAAACUCAAAGGAAUUGACCGGGGCCCGCACAAGCGGUGGAGCAUGUGGUUUAAUUCGAAGCAACGCGAAGAACCUUACCAGGUCUUGACAUCCUCUGACAACCCUAGAGAUAGGGCUUCCCCUUCGGGGGCAGAGUGACAGGUGGUGCAUGGUUGUCGUCAGCUCGUGUCGUGAGAUGUUGGGUUAAGUCCCGCAACGAGCGCAAUCCUUGAUCUUAGUUGCCAGCAUUCAGUUGACUCACUCUAACGUGACUGCCGGUGACAAACCGGAAGGAAGGUGGGGAUGACGUUUAAUCAUCAUGCUCCCCUAUGACCUGGAGCUACACACGUGCUACGAUGGGCAGAACAAAG
rnacentral:rRNA from 1 species